rnacentral:rRNA from 1 species
CAGCCGCCGCGGGAAUACGUAGGGUGCGAGCGUUGAUCGGAAUUACUGGGCGUAAAGCGUGCGCAGGCGGCUUUGCAAGACAGAUGUGAAAUCCCCGGGCUCAACCUGGGAACUGCAUUUGUGACUGCAUGGCUAGAGUACGGUAGAGGGGGAUGGAAUUCCGCGUGUAGCAGUGAAAUGCGUAGAUAUGCGGAGGAACACCGAUGGCGAAGGCAAUCCCCUGGACCUGUACUGACGCUCAUGCACGAAAGCGUGGGGAGCAAACAGGAUUAGAUACCCCUGUAGUCCCUGUCUCUUAUAC